rnacentral:piRNA from 1 species
UGUGAAUAGAGCUAUAACAGACCCUGAAAUG